rnacentral:rRNA from 1 species
UAGGGAAUCUUCGGCAAUGGACGAAAGUCUGACCGAGCAACGCCGCGUGAGUGAAGAAGGUUUUCGGAUCGUAAAACUCUGUUGUUAGAGAAGAACAAGGACGUUAGUAACUGAACGUCCCCUGACGGUAUCUAACCAGAAAGCCACGGCUAACUACGUGCCACCAGCCGCGGUAAUACGUAGGUGGCAAGCGUUGUCCGGAUUUAUUGGGCGUAAAGCGAGCGCAGGCGGUUUCUUAAGUCUGAUGUGAAAGCCCCCGGCUCAACCGGGGAGGGUCAUUGGAAACUGGGAGACUUGAGUGCAGAAGAGGAGAGUGGAAUUCCAUGUGUAGCGGUGAAAUGCGUAGAUAUAUGGAGGAACACCAGUGGCGAAGGCGGCUCUCUGGUCUGUAACUGACGCUGAGGCUCGAAAGCGUGGGGAGCAAACAGG